rnacentral:piRNA from 1 species
AAAAAGGAUGCAGAUUGAACGAGGA